AACCUAGCACACCUGCGGUGUGUACCUGCGGAAGGAUCAUUACCGAGUUAUACAACUCAUCAACCCUGUGAACAUACCUAUAACGUUGCCUCGGCGGGAACAGACGGCCCCGUAACACGGGCCGCCCCCGCCAGAGGACCCCCUAACUCUGUUUCUAUAAUGUUUCUUCUGAGUAAACAAGCAAAUAAAUUAAAACUUUUAACAACGGAUCU
rnacentral:misc_RNA from 1 species